UAGGGAAUCUUCGGCAAUGGACGAAAGUCUGACCGAGCAACGCCGCGUGAGUGAAGAAGGUUUUCGGAUCGUAAAACUCUGUUGGUAGAGAAGAACGUUGGUGAGAGUGGAAAGCUCAUCAAGUGACGGUAACUACCCAGAAAGGGACGGCUAACUACGUCNCA
rnacentral:rRNA from 1 species